UGGGCUCCGCCGCCUCCUCCACCACCAUCCCUUCUCUUCUCACUCUUCCUCCUGCAGCCGCCGCCUCCUCUUCUCCCUCUCUUCCUCCUCCUCGCCCCACGCGGCCCCUCUUUUGCCGCUCGUCCUCCACCUCAUAUCCGGCAUCCUCGCCGCCGCCAUAGAUCGAGGAGGACGGCGCGAUGACGACCAUGAUGCAUCGGACAUCCCAGGUCGACGAUGCCAUGGAAGCCAUGAGAGCUGGCCGAGGAAGAGGGGGCAGGACUGCAUGCCAUGAUGGGCAUGGCGGCUGCGGGCGGAAGCAGCAUGGGUUGAAGGAGCGGCGGAUGUGGGUGGGGUCGAAGGUUGGGAGAGACUCGUCGGCUGGGCAACAGCGAGCGCCAAUGAGCGCAACGCAUGAGUUUCCAGAAGCGUCGUCUCCUACAAGACAGGCAAGGACGAUGUCGUCGCCCUCGCAGGUUCUAUGAUCUGUUCCAUCUCUGUUCUCCUCGUCAAGGUUAGCUGCUCUAUUCCCUAGGGGAGGGGAGGCGGCCAAUGACAGGGAGAAGGAGCAGGCCGUCAAGGAGUGCAACCAGAAGCUUUCCGGUGACUGGAAGUCUGAAACUCAAGACAGGGCAUAUUGUUUUGGUUAUGAGUGGUUGGAGAUAUUGUGGCUUGAUGUCCCUAGAGCAGUCGGACCCUUCCAAGAUAUGUGCUAAAAUCCUAGGUGUCAAGGGCAUUGUGGUGGUGCGAUCCAUGUCUCCUGCGAGCACUCGGCAUGGCGUCCAUAGCCCCAAAGAGCAGGGCUUCAAGGCUGGACAACAAGCUUCACUUGAUGAAAGCAUUUCCCUUCUAAAACAGAUUACUGCUGAGAUUAAUGCACAAGUUAGUGUUGAUACUAAGGCGGUUAUGGGAUUGCUUGAUCUAUGCUAGGUCAAUAUGUCAGCCAACCACUUAAAAAUAAUCACUUGCAUUUCUUCCUCUGAACUCUGAAACCUGACGAGUGAGGACGCAUCAACAAUUUAGCAAUAGAAGAUGUCAGUGAACACGAGUACUCAGUCAAGAGCAAUAUAGCGGUAGAUACUUUACGGUGCAAUUUUAUAUAAGAAUAAAUAAAUGGCACUUAAGUUGUUAAGAAAUUGUUGUUGGAGUAUUGUCUCACCCUUUAUCUUCUCUCUCUAAAACUAUAGAUUGCUAUGGGCUGGAGCUCCAGGGGAGGAGGGAGGUAAGCAUAGAUGCAAUGGAUAUUGUUCGGAUAAAAAAUUGGGUGGAAACUGAGUAGUGACGGUGAGACUUAUUCCAUUUGUUUCUCCUUUGCCCUUUUAAUCAAGAACAAUGAUCAGAGCUUACGUGGUUGUUGAAAUUUAAUUCUUUAAAGGAGAAAUAUUGAUAUCAUGCAAUGAUCAUUGCAGAGUAGGAUAGUUAUAGAGUUCUUCCUUAGUUUUCAUUGAACAAAGAUAGGGUCUGUGUGAUUUGUUCUAAUACCAAGUAAAUCUUGGUCUGCAUUUUUUUUCCUAUUUUCGUUUAAAAAAAUUGGGACUUGAUGCGAAAAAGGGUGUGUGUUGACAUGCAUGUAACCAAAUCAUGUAUUAAUGUGAGGUACUAUAUAUACCUGCCUAUCUCUCUGCAAAAGCUUACGGCCCUCUUUGAUCCAACUAGGAACAUCAAAACCAAAUGGGAUUUCAUUGAGUGUACUUCAGAUGCCCAUGCUGUAAGUACACCAUUACUAAUUAGUAUCUGAAUCUGCCUUGUAUAAUUAAGAUGCACUUUCUACAUAGCGCUGCUAUAUAUUGAUACUGUGUGAUCACUUAACAUAAAUCUGGCUAGGCGAUUUGCUCGCCUAACUCUCUGGUUGCAUAUAAUCUCAUCCGGAUAGUGACACGAUUUACUCUGUUUGAUCAAAUAGGUAGAAGCCGAAGCUGUUUUAUGUGAAUCUAAUGACGUCCCUUCUGCUAUAAGCUAGGAAAUUGACAAAUUCAACAUUGGCAAUCUGGUCUUGUGCUCUACAUCCAAAAGCAUAUUCCGAAAGUGAGAUUCUUAUUGUGGAUGUUUCAGCGUCAACCUGAAUUUUGUUUAACCUACUACAGAAAGACCUUCUAGGGUGAUUAGCUGCAGUACUGUGACAAAUAAUCAAAAAAAUCAGUGUCUUCUCAUUUAAUAUUCUAGCUGCGACUACUUGACUACAAGUUUUAUGUUAAAUUUUUCUGUAUAGCUUGCACAAACUGAGUGAGAUCGUGAAUCAUCAUCUCACAUUUUUUUCUCUUGAAAAGUAGGUGUCAUCUCCUACAUUUUUUUUCUUAGAAUCAAGCAUGUUUCUAAGCCUUGCCUGAAAGUUUCCAUCGCUCGGCUCCUGAAGGCAUGUGAUUUAGAUUCUCUUAUGUCAGUGUGUUUGUAUUCAGAAAAUUUAGGUAUGAUGCCUCAUUCAGAUUCUCUUAUGUCAACGUGUUUGUAUUCAGAAAAAUAAUGCAUGAUGCCCCAUUUAGCUUAUCCUAUCUCGGUGUGUUUGUGCUCAGAAAAUUAAUUUGCUUAUUUUUGCUUUUUGAGGGCUGUAAUAAUAGAGAAUUUCAUUGUUGAAAACUUAUAAAGAGAUCGAGGAUAAAAAAUUGCAAGUAAAGUCCACUUCUCUACUGUAUUUUUAUGCGCACCUACAGUGUAGUUCUUAGCUAUGCUGCGACUAUUCUAAUCGAUAGGGCAAAAAACUAUGGGAGGAAUCAAAGGCAUGCAUCUGACCUCAGGUACACGUACCAAUUGAAAUAAGAGGUGAUAAUGUUGUCAUAUAGCUAUACUGGAUUCAUUAUCAAAUUAACAACCUACCUGGACGGCAAAAGUUUACUUCACUUGGUAACAGGAGUUGGACACCGAAAGCUUUGCUAUCUAAUUUUCUUCUCUGUAGAGGAAAACAAGUACGCUUAUAGUUGGACACUAAAAGUCUGCUAAAAUUAUUUUUAGAGCUGUAUGGUGUAUACUUUUAUAAUGUAAAUCCUUGCUCAUGUUACACCUUUCUUGUUAUUAUGGCGAAAAAAUUAGCAUAUUAACCAUUUCUACAUUUUUUUUGUUCUUUUCUUUGAAUACAGUAGUGUCCAGGUUUAUGGAUUCCUAUAUUUUUAUUGUCAAUCUAACAUACUUGUGUCACUCCCGUCCUGUUUUAGCUCUGUUGAUGGAUGAUUUCUGCCAUUUAUUUUUAUUCCCAUUUUAUAUAUUCUGAUUACUGCUUCAUUAUUUAUCAACUGAGGCAUGCUUGUUGUGCACUUCUUACUGAUGAUGAUCCUAAUGUAUGUUUGAGAAAAGAACUCAAUGUGCAUAUUUUAUCCUUAUUUUGUUCAAUUAUAAUGGGAGGAAGUAACUUAAUUGACUGAUAGUGUUGUUAGUAGUGCUAGACAAUAGGCAAUUUACUAGAGCAGUUCAAGCAAGAAUACUUCCAGAAUCCAUCUUGUGAUCUGUUGGUAACAACACCAAGUUUGCCAGUUUGUUCAACCAAACAAAGUGUAUAACAUGCUUCAUUUUUGCAGGUAUAGAAGAAGGAAAAGAGAGCAUUGGAUUUUGAGUUAAUGAUAAUGAAAUAUAUUUUAAAAAAGAGUUAAUGAAAUAUGCUCAAUCAAGAAAACUCAAGGUCGGUUCAGUCCACAGAAAAGAAUAAGGUGAAACCUCUUGUGUUUUUAUUAGUGCACACAUGGCUCUAAAAUUGGGUAGCUGAUAUUUAUUUAUUCACUCAACGUUGUGUUAGGCAUAGACUUCUCUCUCUCUCUCUCUCUCUCUCUCUCUCUCUCUCUCUCUCUCUCUCUCAAACCAGCUUCUCGUGCAAGAUCUUAUCCUAUGCCCAGUUAUUUUGUGGGUAUCGUUU